rnacentral:misc_RNA from 1 species
CUCCGGCCCUCGGCCGC